GUUGGGUGUGGUGGCACAUGUUUGUAAUCCCUGCUAACAGGGAGGCAGAGGCUGGUGAAUUGCUUAAGCUUGGGAGUUCUGAGCUACAGUAAGGCAAAAGUCAGUGAUUUGAUGUCUAUAUUAAGUCCAGCAUCAUCAGUAUGUUGAGAGUGGGCAAGCCACCAGACUGCGUAAGGAGGGAUGAAUUGGCCUAGGUCAGAAACAGGUUAAAGCUUCCAUGCCAGUCAGUGAUGGAAUCAAGCUUUUGAGUGAUAGCUGCAUCUGUAGCCUGAGAGAUUUAGGGAGACUCAGUCUUUA
ensembl:misc_RNA Metazoa_SRP Metazoan signal recognition particle RNA